rnacentral:rRNA from 1 species
GAAAUAGAACCUGAAACCCUGCACUUACAAGCUGUGGACGCACAAUUCUUGUGUUACCGCGAACUUUCUGUAGCACGGGCCAACGAGUUACGUUAAGUCGACAGGUUAAGCACUUAAGGUGUGGAGCCGUAGCGAAAGCGAGUUUUAACUGCGCGUUCUGUUACUUGGCGUAGACCCGUAACCGCGCUAUCUACCCAUUAGCAGGAU